UCCUCGGAGCAGCGGGUCUGUAGCCGGGGACUCUCCCCGUGGGUUGGACUGCCGCCCACGGAAACUCCUGCAGGGUGAGAGCCUCGCCUUGUCGCUAAGCCCAUUGCUCAAGGACACCAGCCUCAAGAGAACAUUUAAUGUUACUUUACAGAAUCCUGAUGCCACUCAGAGUACUUUUGCAAAAAUGAGGCAGUCUAUCAUGAUCCCCUCUGUGUCUACUUAGGAAAUCUAUGAUGUGUCUGCAAAUCUCAGCGUCUAUGAGCUGCAGUCAGCAUCACUGGCCUGUCAGCUGAAAGUCAAAUUGAUGUAACUUGUUUUCCUGGCAUCAAAGGGAGAGCCCGGAGCCAACUGAGGGAGCUCCGCUGUUGUAGGAACCAGGGUCUACAGCAGCACGGAUGGAAGAGGUGCUGGAGGCAUUAGGAUGAACAAUUGAAAGCAAAAGAAAAAAAGCUUAACCAUGAAAAAACCCAGAGUCUUCUGGAAUGAGGCACACCCACCAGACAGAUCAAAAGCAUCCUGACUAGCAAUACUCAAAACAAGCUGUUGGUGUGUUUCCUGUCAGCGACAGUUUUCCCCCUUGCUGUGGUGACUGCAUUUGAAAGUUCAGAAUGGAGCAGUGCAGGAGACACAUUGCAAAAGAACAAGUUAAAAAAAAGAAAGAAAUUACAUAUGCAAUUGCCCGUUUGCUUGCAUGUUUGUCUUUUGUGGCUAAAGUGAUAAAAAGGCACAUGAGCGUUGGUGGUAAAUAUAUGGUGGUGGCAGGAGAAAGCCUUGAGACAUUUUCAUAAGUGCAUGGCAGAUGCAGCCAAAAUACCUAUAGGAAUCACAGUGUGUAGUGGUCCACAACAAUCUUGCCAUUCCUCAGUGACAGAACUGAGUAAGCGCUUCCCGAUUUGAGGUGACAUUUAGGGUGGACUGGUCUUUACCCAUUAACCUAGAGAGCUCUUCCAGGGUAAGAAAUACGACAGGGCACUCUGUAGCUAAGCGACCUUGCAGCCCUUCAAAUGGUAAAUCAAGGUUUGAUUUUCUUUGCUGAAUAGGCAUGUGGUCUCUCUGUGCCUUCUCCCUGCAGUUUGAAGACUGCAGGGGGAAAUACGUGCGUGCCACAGUUGUACAUACG